AGCGAGUGAGCCACUAACGUGGUUCGGGGAAUGGGAGCUUGGCUGCUCAGCAGCUCUGUAAACCCUGUUUGUUCCGCUCUGGAAGGCUUGUGUGGUUUCAGUCUCUGUCGACCCUGCUCCCACAUCGCUGUGGGGACAGCUGGGUAGCGAUGGUCGGCAGGCACCCUGCGACGCAGAAGCCCCGGUGAUGCCUGGCUGCGUGAGCACAGCUGGCACUGCAACAUCUGGGUCCUGUGCUGUGGCCUGGGCCCGGCGGGCUAGCGACUCAGAAGCAGCGCUGGAGAACAGGUUGGAAACAUUAGAGACGUUCUCCAAGCCAACACCAAAGGUGCUAACCAGCUUCUUGACAAAGUUCAGUGUGUGCGGUGUGAUCUUGGCGUCGGACACGGCACCACUCUUUUCAAAGGCCACCGAGUAGCAUUUCGCCAGGCCCUGUUGCAGCUGUCUCAAGACCUGCAGAAAGAAGAGGAAGGAAGAGACAUAGUCAGAAAACAUUAUACAUGUGAUAAUACUAAUAAAAGAUGCACCAACAUUUUUCUCCAAUCCAAAUCAUUUAAUUUUUAAGUAUCGGUUGAGUCAGAUGUCUGCAACAAAUGGACGUACUCUAUAACUUAAAGUCCUCAAUGAACACAGGAGAAGGAGCAGAGACCAACACAUUUCUUAAGGAACAAAGGGUGCAGCGAUGCAAUGUCAUACAUUAACCAAAGAACGGGAGAGAGGGAAGAUGAUGAUGGCAUAGCAUGCCUCUGCCUCUGUGUGCCCAGUGGAACAAAGCAUAGAGCCUACAGCUGCUGCUGAGUGCCCCAAAGUAUCACAGGUAAUCAAACAGACAGACACACACAGACACACACACCAACAAACGUCUGGCCGUACAUCCCUUUGCCCAUCCUGCACGCUCACUGCACCCAUCCAUCACCUGUCUCAGACUUUUCUCCUGCUGCCUCUUUCUCCCAGUGUUCCCCUCCGCCCACAGACCGGCAACAUUCCGUGGAUUCUGCCUCGCAUGGCUAAUACAUUUUUUUAGCAAUUGCAAUCAUGUCAGGAUUACCUUCUGCACUGACCUCCGCACAUUUAACAGGGGGGAAAACUACUGACUGAAUGGGUGAUGCAAGUCAACAAAAAGAAAAUAAAAAAAUAAAUAAAGGAUUUGGGGCUCCCUGGUAGAGUUUGCACCCGUGUAACAAGGAUCAGCUUAGUCCCACGGCCCUUCGCUGCAUGUCGUCCCCCUCUGUCUUCCCCCUUUCCCGUUUACAGCGGUCCUAUCGAUUAAAAAG